AUUGAACGCUGGCGGCAGGCCUAACACAUGCAAGUCGAGCGGAUGAAGGGAGCUUGCUCCUGGAUUCAGCGGCGGACGGGUGAGUAAUGCCUAGGAAUCUGCCUGGUAGUGGGGGAUAACGUCCGGAAACGGGCGCUAAUACCGCAUACGUCCUGAGGGAGAAAGUGGGGGAUCUUCGGACCUCACGCUAUCAGAUGAGCCUAGGUCGGAUUAGCUAGUUGGUGGGGUAAAGGCCUACCAAGGCGACGAUCCGUAACUGGUCUGAGAGGAUGAUCAGUCACACUGGAACUGAGGCACGGUCCAGACUCCUACGGGAGGCAGCAGUGGGGAAUAUUGGACAAUGGGCGAAAGCCUGAUCCAGCCAUGCCGCGUGUGUGAAGAAGGUCUUCGGAUUUUAAAGCACUUUAAGUUGGGAGGAAGGGCAGUAAGUUAAUACCUUGCUGUUUUGACGUUACCAACAGAAUAAGCACCGGCUAACUUCGUG
rnacentral:rRNA from 1 species